GCCAUCGGGCGAGCCGGGCACUCUGGAGGGACUGCCGGCGACAAGCCGGAGGAAGGUGGGGAUGACGUCAAGUCAUCAUGGCCCUUAUGUCCAGGGCGACACACGUGCUACAAUGGCCGGCACAGCGGGAAGCGGAGGGGCGACCCUGAGCGGAUCCCUUGAAAGCCGGUCCCAGUUCGGAUUGCAGUCUGCAACUCGACUGCAUGAAGUUGGAAUCGCUAGUAAUCGCGGAUCAGCCAAGCCGCGGUGAAUACGUUCCCGGGCCUU
rnacentral:rRNA from 1 species